GCAAGUCGAACGAUGAAGCCGGAGCUUGCUCUGGUGAAUUAGUGGCGAACGGGUGAGUAACACGUGAGCAAUCUGCCCUUGACUCUGGGAUAACUGCGGGAAACUGUAGCUAAUACCGGAUACGACGUACGGAGGCAUCUCCUGUACGUGGAAAGAAUUUUGGUCAAGGAUGAGCUCGCGGCCUAUCAGCUAGUUGGUGAGGUAAUGGCUCACCAAGGCGACGACGGGUAGCCGGCCUGAGAGGGUGACCGGCCACACUGGAACUGAGACACGGUCCAGACUCCUACGGGAGGCAGCAGUGGGGAAUAUUGCACAAUGGGCGAAAGCCUGAUGCAGCAACGCCGCGUGAGGGAUGAAGGCCUUCGGGUUGUAAACCCCUUUUAGUUGGGAAGAAGCGAAAGUGACGGUACCAACAGAAAAAGCACCGGCUAACUACGUGCCAGCAGCCGCGGUAAUACGUAGGGUGCAAGCGUUGUCCGGAAUUAUUGGGCGUAAAGAGCUCGUAGGCGGUUUGUCGCGUCUGCUGUGAAAAUCCGAGGCUCAACCUCGGACCUGCAGUGGGUACGGGCAGACUAGAGUGCGGUAGGGGAGAAGGGAAUUCCUGGUGUAGCGGUGGAAUGCGCAGAUAUCAGGAGGAACACCAAUGGCGAAGGCACUUCUCUGGGCCGUAACUGACGCUGAGGAGCGAAAGCGUGGGGAGCGAACAGGAUUAGAUACCCUGGUAGUCCACGCCGUAAACGGUGGGUGCUAGUUGUGGGUCACAUUCCACGUGAUCCGUGACGCAGCUAACGCAUUAAGCACCCCGCCUGGGGAGUACGGUCGCAAGACUAAAACUCAAAGGAAUUGACGGGGGCCCGCACAGGCAGCGGAGCAUGCGGAUUAAUUCGAU
rnacentral:rRNA from 1 species